UUCUAAUAAAACAUAGAACGUUAGUUUUGAAUUAAAAAAAAAACUCCCCGCAGUGGUUUAAGGAAAAUGGAAGGGGGCAUUUUGGUACGCCCGCGUUUCAUCCAAUUUCCGGUGAAGAUCCGCCCUCGUGAGAAGCUAUUAGGGUUUGAAAUCCCUCUGUUUAUUCUUAGUCUGGCAUUCUUCCACUCUUGAUCCUCCCCGCAGUGGGCGAAUUUUACUCGUCGAUUGAGCGAUAUAUAACCAAUUCUCUCUGGUCACUCAUCGAGGCGGUGAAGGUUUCCUCAUCAUCCACCAGCUCACAAUUGCUGUAUCACAUGAAUUAGCCCAUCUAUGGCUUGGCAAUCUAGUAACAAUGGAAUGGCGGAGUCAUUUAUGGCUUAAUGAGGGAUUUGCAACAUGGGUAAAAUUGAGUCAUCUCACAUUACUGCUUCCACUUGCUGGCUAUUGCAAUACAUUCAUUUUCUUGUUUGAAUCUGUAUUUGAUCUUAAAUUUCCAGGUAAGUUAUAUGGCCACUGACAGGCAACAGCAUGUUUCCUUAGUGGAAUAUAUGGACUCUAUUUCUUCUAAAAACAAAUGAUGGCCUGCGUAUGGAUGCAUUGGAACAAUUGCAUCCUAUUGAGGUCGAAGUACCCCGGGCUCGUUCAAUAGGGGAAUUAUUUGAUUCUAUCAGCUACAAAAGGGAUCUUCUGUCACUCGAAUGUUGCAGGGUUAUCUUGGUAUGGCACAUUUCAGGAGGGAUGGUUCAUGUUCUUGACUUAAAGUGGUUGGGUUAUUUUUACAUGGAGCACCAAAUAUUGAUUCUGUAUUUUCAUAGUAAAACCUUCUAUGCAAUAUUUUCAUAAUCAUUUCUUGGAAAAUAUAUACAGAACUAAUGCUUGGCAUUUGUUAGUUAAUGUCAUUUGUUUUAUAAAGCUUUAAUGGCUCUCUUAUCCAUUAAGCAGGUUUGGCACUUUAUAAUUGUCAAGGCUAUUAUGUGAUUUAUGUUUAUUUCUUAUCUUAUUAUAUGUUAACAAUGCCAUUAUAGUCUUCAAUUAUUCAAUGGACUAAAAGAAUAUAUAUUGAUACCACAUGGGCUCAAAAAUUUAGAGUGGAUUGGGGUUUGACUCAGUGUGUAGGAUGCUUUUGCCAUGUAACACCUUCUAGGUAUUUUCUUGGGCAGAGACUCUUGCUCCAGUGUCUGUUCUUCUUUUAGAAUCCAUAUAUGUGCCGUGUCACUUAUAUUUGUCAAAUUGGAAGCUUUCUUUGAUCACUUAUUCCACUAAUAAUCGUGGUCACUAAUGUGUACAAUGUAUAAUUUCUCAAUGCAGUAGACCUUAAUAUCACUUUUUCAUGGAAAAUAUUCUUGGUAACAAAAAUGCUACCAUGAACAUUUUUCUUUUUUCAACGUGUUCUGCACACAAAUUUAUGAAAGUGACUGAGGGGAAAGGUCUGAAUUAUAUUCCUGUAGUAAUUUGCACUUCUUGAACAUGAUCAAAAUUUCACUGUGUAACAAGUGGAUAGAAAAUUAACUUUAACUAAAUUACAUAUAUAACUCUGUGACUUCUUAUUUGAACCAGAAACCCUUGAGUUAGUGCAUAAAAAGAUAUGCUGGAAAGAAUACAAAGACAGAUGAUUUAUGGGGCGUUCUUUCAGAGAACUCUGGUGAACUCAAUUCAAUGAUGGAUGCUUGGUUAAAAAAAAAAAAAAAGGGAUUUCCAGUUAUCUCUGUAAAAUCCAAAGAUAAUAUUUUGGAAUUUGAACAGGUAUUAUUAUUAAGUAAUAAGCAAACAUGCAUUUCUUAAAGGUUUAGAGGUCAAGUUGUUUAUCUUUAUCAAGAUAGUAUUAUCGUGCUAUUCAUGAUAAGUUCAGAAGGCCGUGAGGUAGCAUGGAGAUGGUUGAAGGUAUGCAGCUCCUGCUCAACAUCUAAUUGGUAGCAUGUCUAAUUGUGUAUAUAGUCUGGAAAAUAUUAUGAUUGGGAAUUGAGAAGCAACUAUUUACUUUAAAUUUAUAAUUGUAUAUAUGGUUGGAAAAUAUAUGAAUACCUAUCUCUCCAAAUUAAUAUCUUCAUAUUUAUAAUGUUUUGCGGCCUUCUCGGCAUUAUGUUCAAAUUACUGUCAUAUAUGUACUAGGGUUAGUUAUAUAGUGAAGUAGGCUUCUUCAUAAACUUGAAUAUCUUUUUUUUUUUUCCGUUGUGCGGAAAAUCGAGUUGGGAAUCAAUAGCUUGAGAGACUCAUUUAAAUGCACUGUUGAGAAUGAUAGAAAUACUUAUCUCCGGUCCAUGGACACUAGAAAGGUAAAAGUUUUGCCUGUACUUUUAAAUCACUUCCUUAUCAGUAGGGGCAUUUUCGAGUUCUAUAUUCAACAGUGGUGUAUGCUCUGUAGGCUGCUUUCAUUGUUGUAAUGUUAAAUGCUAGUACGACAAAUAGGAAUGGAUUUGAGUCCUUACUGAAGCUCAAUAGAGAAGCAGAUAUUGUUAAGAUUUAGUAACAUUGGAAAUAGUAUCCUGUCACUUUUUGGGUGAAAGCUACUUAAAUUUAAUGUCAUUCUUUCAUCCUUGUAAAGGUUUUCUUGCAUCUUGUCCAAACCCAAAUAUAUUGCUCGUGGUUUUAAAUUUUAUGUUGUUUGAUGAGGUAUUGGUUGUGCCAAUUAAAUCACGGUUUUUAACGGCCUCAUCUUUCUUGCGGAUCUAAUUGUUAUUCAUAUAAAUAUCCUUUCAGGUUCAAGAUCAAUAUAUUAUUUACGUGCUUUUCUUGACAAGUUGAGAAGGCCAUGAGGUAGCAUGGAGAUGCUUGAAGUUCUGCAGUAAUGAAAAGGCCGAUGAGAUAGAAGCAUUUUUUUGCCAGCCGUAUGCAUCCUUCAUUUACCAUGAGUUUGAAGCAAAGUACCGAGCAAAUCCGACUCAAAUCGAGGUGGGUUGACAACAAAAGGCGAGAGCAAUCUCUAUACGACCUAGUCAAACAAUUAGCUCUCAAGAAAUGCUAGUCUUCACUUUGCUUCCAAAACUAUAUUGUGAAUGUAAUUAUGUUAAGAAUAAUAAACAACAUACAUUGCAUGCUCAGCAACUUGUGUUAUUUAUGUAAGGAGUUACAUAUGAAGAAAUCAAACCAUGAACAGGUUGCUACCUA